CUGGCUGGCAGAGCUCUGCAGAAUGUUACAUGCUGUGAAUAUAACCCAGACUACUGAGGCAGAAAAGUAAUGUACCAGCAGAUUCCUCUGAGCAUCUGAAAUCAGCUUUGAAAAUGUCAAACAGCCCUUUGAUGCCCUGCUGCUCCUGGGUGCAACAUACUAAUUUUCCUCCAAGGGAGUCUCGGGAUGGGGAAUUGGUCUUGCUUUCAUUCAGGAGACUAUUUUGUUGGGGAUGAAGUCUCAACUUCACAAGACAGAGCCAAGUAUCUUCCAGAAAGCAGAUGAUUUUCCAGAUGAAUGACAAAUUCUGUUGUUUAUUAUUCCCCAGCUGAGGUUUUGCUGCUGCUAAACUCCACCAACAUCUUUUCUGCUAUCAGCCACAGCUCCACCAGGUUGCAUUUGAAACCACACUUCUGAGGCUUGUAGUCCUUACUUUUCACAGUUUGUAACCAAACACCUGACAGAAGCAAGAAAAGGAGAUUUAUUUUGACUUGGAUUAUGGUUUCAGAGGGACUUCAGUCUAUGAUGACUGGAAGAUAAGGUGGCAGAUACCUGAGGUUGAUGCCUGCUCACAUCCUGGAAGACAAGAAACACAGAAAGAAGAUGGAAACUGCCCCCUACUGACCUUCUUCCGCCAUCCUGGCCCACUUUCUAAAGACACAAUAGCUUUUGGUAUAGUACCUCCAAUGCGGGAUUGAGCAUUCAGGGCACGGACCGGUAAGAGAUAUUUCAGAUUCAGGCCAUAACAAAGGUGCAAAGGCUAAGAUAGCUGUAAGGAAUUCCAAGCACCAAAGGAGAGGCGGGAGGAAGGUGCUAUCAUAAAAGUGAGAUUGGGAAAUUUGCAAAACCAUUUGACAGACUUCUGAUAAAUCUUUCAACUGAAUCUCCAAGUGAACUGAAUCUCCAAGGGACUGACAUUACUGAAGUGCACAGAAGUCAUCAAAGGACAAGCUUAGAGGUGAAUAUAUUCAGAAGUGAGGAGAAUGUUCAGCCAAGCAGCUCAACAGAUAAAGGUGCUUUCUGCCACACCUGAUGACAUGAAUUGAUCCCUGGGACCCACACGGUAGAAAGAGUGAACUGAAUCACAUUGUUCUCCAGCCCUCCAUAUACACACCAUAGCGUGCUCCCCACUAAAUAAGUAAUGUAUAAAUAAAUAAAUGUAAUAGAAAUGGAGAGAAUUGUGAGGCACUCUACAUUAAUGGUUAGGAAUCAACAAGAAUAAAUGUAUGCCAACUA